rnacentral:rRNA from 1 species
GCGCUAUGAGAUGAGCCUACGUCCGAUUAGCUAGUUGGUAGGGUAAUGGCCUACCAAGGCGACGAUCGGUAGCUGGUCUGAGAGGACGAUCAGCCACACUGGAACUGAGACACGGUCCAG